GCCAGUGUAGUGUAGUGGUUUGAACAUUGGACUACAACUCUGGAGACCAGGGUUUGAUUCCCACUCAGCCA